CUGGCGGCAUGGCUAAGACAUGCAAGUCGAGCGCGAAAGUCCCUUCGGGGAGCGAGUAGAGCGGCGAACGGGCGAGUAAUGCAUGGGUAACGUGCCCCUCGCACAGGGAUAGCCCACCGAAAGGCGGGAUAAUACCUGAUGAUACCUCGGACGCAAAAGCGACCGGGGUCAAAGGGUGGGGACCCUUCGGGGCCUGCCGGCGAGAGAGCGGCCCAUGUCCUAUCAGCUUGUUGGUGAGGUAACGGCUCACCAAGGCGACGACGGGUAGCGGGACUGAGAGGUUGGCCCGCCGCAUUGGGACUGAGACACUGCCCAGACUCCUACGGGAGGCUGCAGUAACGAAUAUUGGGCAAUGGGCGAAAGCCUGACCCAGCAAUGCCGCGUGCGGGAUGAAGCCCCUCGGGGUGUAAACCGCUGUCAGGGAUCACCAACCAAGGGAGGUUAACAGCCUCCUGCGUUGAGGCAUCCCACAGGAAGCCACGGCUAACUUCGUGCCAGCAGCCGCGGUAAUACGAAGGUGGCUAGCGUUGUUCGGAAUCACUGGGCUUAAAGAGCACGUAGGCGGGCUUGCAAGCGUCUUGUGAAAUCCCUCGGCUCAACCGAGGAAUAGCUUGGCGAACUGUGAGCCUUGAGGCAAGUAGGGGUGCGUGGAACUCUUGGUGGAGCGGUGAAAUGCGUAGAUAUCAAGAGGAACGCCGGAGGCGAAAGCGGCGCACUGGGCUUGUCCCUGACGCUGAGGUGCGAAAGCCAGGGGAGCGAACGGGAUUUAGAUACCCCCGGUAGUCCUGGCCGUAAACGAUGCCUACUAGAUUCGGAGGCCUUUUGACGGGGUUCCGGUCGCAACCAAAGCGUUAAGUAGGCCGCCUGGGGAGUACGGUCGCAAGGCUAAAACUCAAAGGAAUUGACGGGGCCUCACACAAGCGGUGGAGCAUGUUGCUUAAUUCGAUGCAACGCGAAGAACCUUAUCCUGGGCUUGACAUGCACGGAUGCCUCCCCUGAAAGGGGGUUUGGUUGCCCUUCGGGGUGAAACGUGCACAGGUGCUGCAUGGCUGUCGUCAGCUCGUGUCGUGAGAUGUUGGGUUAAGUCCCGUAACGAGCGAAACCCUUAUCGCUAGUUGCCAGCGGGUGAUGCCGGGGACUCUAGCGAGACUGCCGGUCUGAAACCGGAGGAAGGUGGGGAUGACGUCAAGUCCUCAUGGCCUUUAUGCCCAGGGCUGCAAACGUGCUACAAUGGCCGGUACAAACCGACGCAAGACCGCGAGGUGGAGCAAAUCGGAAAAAGCCGGCCUCAGUUCGGAUUGGAGUCUGCAACUCGACUCCAUGAAGUCGGAAUCGCUAGUAAUCGCGCAUCAGCCAUGGCGCGGUGAAUGUGUUCCUGAGGCUUGUACACACCGCCCGUCAAGUCAUGGAAGCCGGGAGC
rnacentral:rRNA from 1 species